CGCUAACAGAGCGCGCUGUGGCCAGAGUGUCUUGCAAAACUCGAGUCAACUGUCUGAUAUCGUGACUAUAGAUAUGUAUACACAUGAAUUUCGUUUAAUCGAGCCACUUAACAAUCGACGUCGACAGCAAUCAACAGCGUUAAGCGUGAGCCGUGAGCAUUAGCUGCCUAAAUCUGCCCAGACCUGCCUGUCUAAAUAGAAAAGCCUGGAAAAUGCAAUGUCUGUGGCACGGUGUUCUCUAUAGAAAUAAUAAAUCUAUGAUUUUCUGCAGA